UGUCGUCUGGUGCUAAAGCUAGUUAGCUGGACAUGCUGGAAACACUUCAACAAACUUCACUCUGUGAUCCUCGAAUAUGGUUUUUGAAGAGCUCCAGAAGCGCAAAGGUCGACGGUAAACCGGAAAAAGAAGAAAAGGCGAAGUUAGCACGAAAAGGUGGAACAGCUGAGAAGGUUGUUGACACAGCGGCUAACUGCUGCUAAUGCCGAGAGUUGGUAGAAACAAACACAUCACAGAACAGCAAGAAACGAGUGAAUUUAAAGAAGAGAAGAAACUAGUCAAGGUGCUGGAUGCUGUUUUCGAGCGUAAAGUUCGCUGAUCCAGAGCAGAUAUGCAGCCGUUGCUGGUGAUUAAAGAAGAAACCCUUCUUGACCACCAGGAAUGGAAUCUGAGUGUUGACCAGGAAGACAUUAAAGAAGAGAAGCUGCAGAUAAGUCAGAAAGGAGAGCAGCUUCAGCAGCUGGAGGAGGCAGAUCUCACCAAGAUUGGUUUCACUGCUGUCCCUGUGAAGAGUGAAAA